rnacentral:rRNA from 1 species
UACGGAGGGGGCUAGCGUUGUUCGGAAUUACUGGGCGUAAAGCGCACGUAGGCGGACUGGAAAGUCAGGGGUGAAAUCCCGGGGCUCAACCCCGGAACUGCCUUUGAAACUCCCAGUCUUGAGGUCGAGAGAGGUGAGUGGAAUUCCGAGUGUAGAGGUGAAAUUCGUAGAUAUUCGGAGGAACACCAGUGGCGAAGGCGGCUCACUGGCUCGAUACUGACGCUGAGGCGCGAAAGCUAGGGGAGCAAACGGG